UACAGAGGGUGCGAGCGUUAAUCGGAAUUACUGGGCGUAAAGCGCGCGUAGGCGGCUUUGCAAGUCGGAUGUGAAAUCCCCGGGCUCAACCUGGGAACUGCAUUCGAGACUGCAUUGCUUGAGUAUGGGAGAGGGAGGCGGAAUUUCAGGUGUAGCGGUGAAAUGCGUAGAUAUCUGAAGGAACAUCAGUGGCGAAAGCGGCCUCCUGGACCAAUACUGACGCUCAUGUGCGAAAGCGUGGGGAGCAAACAGG
rnacentral:rRNA from 1 species